rnacentral:rRNA from 1 species
UACGGAAGGCAGCAGUGGGGAAUAUUCGCACAAUGGGCGCAAGCCUGAUGCAGCCAUGCCGCGUGUAUGAAGAAGGCCUUCGGGUUGUAAAGUACUUUCAGUCGUGAGGAAGGUGUUAAGGUUAAUAACCUUAGCAAUUGACGUUAGCGACAGAAGAAGCACCGGCUAACUCCGUGCCAGCAGCCGCGGUAAUACGGAGGGUGCGAGCGUUAAUCGGAAUUACUGGGCGUAAAGGGCACGCAGGCGGUUAAUUAAGUUGGAUGUGAAAUCCCCGGGCUUAACCUGGGAAUGGCAUUCAAGACUGGUUAGCUAGAGUCUUGUAGAGGGGGUAGAAUUCCAUGUGUAGCGGUGAAAUGCGUAGAGAUGUGGAGGAAUACCGGGUGGCGAAGGCGGCCCCUGGGACAAAGACUGACGCUCGAUGUGCGAAAGCGUGGGGAGCAAACAGGGAUUAGAUACC